rnacentral:rRNA from 1 species
CGACCUGAGCUCAGGCAAGACUACCCGCUGAACUUAAGCAUAUCCAUUGGUGUGCAAGGCAGUCGGAAAAGGACUGUCUAGUUCUCAAGGCAGGUUGCCUGCUUUGAGGGCGACACUGUCAAAUUGCCGGGACGUCUUGCUAAGGCACUGAUACCGUCGGCUAUGGGAAACUGUAGUUAGACACCGUAGGGAAACUUGCGGGUAUGGUAACAAUUCAGUGCAUAGAGAUAAUCGGCAGCCAAAUCCUAAGGGCUCUAACGAGCCUAUGGUAAAAGUUCACAGACUAAAUGGCAGUGGGUCUCGAGAGUUUACUCUUGAGGCUUAAGAUAUAGUCGGGUCCCACCGAGAGGUGGUCUGUUGGAGGAAUCCUUCGGGAGGAGAGCCAACAGAAGUAGGAAUAAUACUUUGUGGCGCAAGUCACAAAGGGGAUUACCCUCCCUUCCUACUGAAACAACCGAUCAAUAAGCGGAGGAAAAGAAACUAACAAGGAUUGCCCUAGUAACGGCGAGCGAACCGGCAAAAGCCCAACUUGAAAAUCUCCCUUUGGAGAAUUGUAGUCUAUAGAAGUACCCUCUGCAACGGGCGGAACCUAAGUCUCCUGGAAAGGAGCGUCAGAGAGGGUGAGAACCCCGUCGGUAUCCUGCCUUGUUGCCUCACGAGGUGCUUUCGAAGAGUCGGGUUGCUUGGGAAUGCAGCCCUAAUUUGGUGGUAAAUCCCAUCUAAGGCUAAAUAUUGGCGAGAGACCGAUAGCGAACAAGUACCGUGAGGGAAAGAUGAAAAGAACUUUGAAAAGAGAGUUAAAAAGUGCUUGAAAUUGUUGAGGGGGAAGCGUUUGAAUGCUCGGGUGCGCCUAGGCUUAUGUAGUCUUAACGGGCUGCUGUAUGUGCUAGGUGCUGGCCAGCAUGGGUUGGAUUGGCAGGAUAAAAGUUGGGAUUGUUACCCGGCCUAUACUGCCGAUCCGACCAAGGCGUGAAGACUGCCCUUGUCCUUCGGGAACUGCAGU